rnacentral:lncRNA from 1 species
CCAAAAGAAAAUCACGUUCAUGCCAGCUGUCACUGCCCACGACCUGCUUAUUUACCUUCUUUCCUUUGCAUGGAUAAUUGACAUCUGACGAGGUGUUUUCAAAUUUCUUUUUAGGUAAAUGUGUCGCUUCUGUUAUGUUCUUAAUACUUAGGUUGUAACGAUGUCAUCCUACCCAACGACCUACCCAUGCCACGAAAUGCCCAAUCCUUACCCACCAAGCAGUUCCCUGGCUUCUGAGCCUCAGCAACCUGUGGGAUUCAUACACACAGGACAGGGUGCUCAACUCUCCUUCGUAGCCUCUCCAGCAGUCUUUCCUAGCAGUCAGCUGGGCCAAGGAAAUGUGCAACUUACAAAUCCAAGAGCAAGCACAGCAGCAACAAACCCCAAAGGAGCCAUCAAGAUACUCGGGGGGAUCCAGAUUGUGAUCGGAAUCAUGCUCCCCGGAUUUGGCAUUAUCCUGGCUCUACUGAGUUACACGCUGGACCACGCCUGGGGCUUCUACUCCAUCUCCUUUGUCGCUGGCUACCCC